UACGUAGGGGGCAAGCGUUGCUCGGAAUCACUGGGCGUAAAGGGUUCGUAGGCGGGUCUUUAAGUCAGGGGUGAAAUCCUGGAGCUCAACUCCAGAACUGCCUUUGAUACUGAAGAUCUUGAGUUCGGGAGAGGUGAGUGGAACUGCGAGUGUAGAGGUGAAAUUCGUAGAUAUUCGCAAGAACACCAGUGGCGAAGGCGGCUCACUGGCCCGAUACUGACGCUGAGGCACGAAAGCGUGGGGAGCAAACAGG
rnacentral:rRNA from 1 species